rnacentral:rRNA from 1 species
UAUUGGUCAAUGGCCUAACGGCUGAACCAGCAAUUUGGGGGAAUGUAGGUAUAUAUAAUCACGUAUAUACAAAUUGACUAUGUCAAAUAAAGUUCUAAAUAGAUAAUUGAUUAUGACAAAAUUCUAUUUACAUGUCUCGACCAAUUCUUGUGCCAGCAGUCGCGGCAACACAAGUGAGACUAGUGUUAUUCAUCUUUAUUAGGUUUAAAGGGUACCUAGACGGUAAGCUCAGCCCUUAAAGGGUACUGACUUUCUAGAGUUUUGUAGGAGAGGUAAAUAUUAGGACUAUUGGUGUAGAGAUGAAAUUCUUUGAUACUAAUGGAAUGUGUAAUGGCGAAGGCAACCCUCUAUGUAUAAACUGACGUUAAGGGACGAAGGCUUGGGUAGCGAAUAGGAUUAGAUACCCUAGUAGUCCAGGCAGAAAAUUAUGAGUGUUAUAUACUAAAUAUUCUAAAUUAGUGUAUAAAUGAAAGUGUAAGCACUCCACCUCAAGAGUAAUGUGGCAACACAGGAACUGAAAUCAUUAGACCGUUUCUGAAACCAGUAGUGAAGUAUGUUAUUUA